GUUUCGCCCUGUUUACCAAAAACAUCGCUCCUUGGAAAGGUUUUCUAAUAUAUAAGGAGUUCUGCCUGCCCAGUGACAUAGUUAAACGGCCGCGGUAUUUUGACCGUGCAAAGGUAGCAUAAUCAUUUGCCUUUUAAAUGGAGGCUGGUAUGAAUGGCAAGACGGAAAUUUAGCUGUCUCUCUUUUAGAGCUUUGAAAUUAAUAUUUUUGUGAAGAAGCAAAAAUAAGGUCGCAGGACGAGAAGACCCUAUCGAGCUUAAGUAGUGUGAUAUAGGUUUAGAGUAUACUUUUAGUAUUAAUUAUCCUUAUUUAGAGGAAGUGUUUUUAUUAAAAAGGUGUAGAAUUUUAUAUCUUUUAUUUAGAUUGGGGCAAUCGCGGAAAAUAUAGAACUUCCGUUGUAGAGUGACUAGGAAAGUGACACCUUUAAAGCAUAUUUAGUGAUGUUGAAGUGAUCCAUUUUUUAGAAGAGUGAGUAAAGGAAUAAGUUACCGUAGGGAUAACAGCGUAAUUUUUUUGGAGAGUUCAUAUUGAUAAAAAAGUUUGCGACCUCGAUGUUGGAUCGGGACUUCCAGGGGAUGCAGCAGUUCCCAAGGGUUGGUCUGUUCGACCAUUAAAGUCCUACGUGAUCUGAGUUCAGACCGGUGAAAGCCAGGUCAGUUUCUAUCUACG
rnacentral:rRNA from 1 species